rnacentral:rRNA from 1 species
UACGUAGGGGGCAAGCGUUGUCCGGAUUUAUUGGGCGUAAAGAGCGUGUAGGCGGCCUGGCAAGUCCGCUGUGAAAACUCGAGGCUUAACCUCGAGACGUCGGUGGAAACUGCCUGGCUAGAGUCCGGAAGAGGAGAGUGGAAUUCCUGGUGUAGCGGUGAAAUGCGCAGAUAUCAGGAGGAACACCGGUGGCGAAGGCGGCUUUCUGGACAGAUACCGACGCUGAGGCACGAAAGCUAGGGGAGCGAACAGG